rnacentral:rRNA from 1 species
GGGUGAGUAACGCGUAAUCAACCUGCCCUUCAGAGGGGGACAACAGUUGGAAACGACUGCUAAUACCGCAUACGAUCUAAUCUCGGCAUCGAGGAUGGAUGAAAGGUGGCCUCUACAUGUAAGCUAUCACUGAAGGAGGGGAUUGCGUCUGAUUAGCUAGUUGGAGGAGUAACGGCCCACCAAGGCGAUGAUCAGUAGCCGGUCUGAGAGGAUGAACGGCCACAUUGGGACUGAGACACGGCCCAGACUCCUACGGGAGGCAGCAGUGGGGAAUCUUCCGCAAUGGACGAAAGUCUGACGGAGCAACGCCGCGUGAGUGAUGACGGCCUUCGGGUUGUAAAGCUCUGUUAAUCGGGACGAAAGGCCUUCUUUGCGAAUA